rnacentral:lncRNA from 1 species
GAACAGACCAGAGAAUGGGCUCUGUAAAAUGGUGAGGAUGGAAAGAAGAAACCAAUCUGCUGUGCACCUGUGUAUAGAGCAUCCGGCAGUUCUAGGUGCAAUGUUUUAAGGGGAAGACUUACACUAUGAAGCUAGCCCAGAAGAGGGUGACUAGAGUACUGAGGAGUUUCUACCUGGAAGGGCUGUAAGGAAGACAACUGCUAUGUUGUGAGCGGCUCUAUGGAGAGGCCCAUGUGGAGGGAAGUGAGGAAGGCCUCUGGCCAACAGUCCAGGAGGAAGUGAAGCCCUCAGUCCAACAGCCUGUGUGGAACUGAACCCUGCAAACAACUCUGUGUGUGAGCUUGGAAGUGGAUCCAUAUUCAGUCAAACCUUGAGAUGGGACACCAUGCUCUGCUAACACUUGAUUGUGGUCCCAGCUAGGCCACUGCUGAAGUCUUGACUCAGAGAAACGAUGAUAUAGUAAAUGUUUGUUGUUUCAAGUUGGUAAGUUUUGGGAUAAUUUUUUAUAUAGUGAUAAUUUUUUAUAUACUUUAAAAUAACACAUUGCCCUAUCCUUUGGUUACACUUUUCUCUUGGAACUCUGCUUGCCCAUAUAUUACAGAAAUAUUUUUCAGAUCAUGGGCUGAAAGGUGGAUUAUGGAUGCAAUGUUUAAAUUUAGCAAUGUCAUUUAUGACUGUUCAUAUGAGCUUUGCUGCAUAAAAUGUUGAUAUUAAUUUGUUUCCCUUUAAGACAUUCUUAAUGUUUACCUCUCAGUAUUUUCUUUGUAAUCAAUUAAUGUAAGAUGAAUAUAGUUUGUAGGUUUUACCUUUCUUGAUUCGUAUACAAAACACACAACAUCCAACCAUUGUUAUUUAAAGAUUAUCUAGGAGGAGAUGAUGGAAACUCUGUUUUGGGCCACCUUCUUUACACAUUGGGUCUAUUUCCCCUAACUUGAGUAUAUAUUAAACUAGUGGGGGAUUGAGCUACAAAAAUGCUACUUGGUGAGAAUUUUAUUAAUACAAAUACUCAACUCUGAAGUUACGUUUUUGUGGAAAGUUAUCACUUUGGAAUUUGAAUUUUCUUGGAGCUAAGCCACUGGUAGUUGUAAAAGCUACACCUGUAAAUUUGCUCCCUAGAAGAUACUUUCGUUUAGUGACCACUUGUUUCUCUGUGGAUAAAUUCAAUUAUAAAUUACAAUCGAAUUGACGUUUUCAUAGCAUCCUUCACUCUCCAAGUAUCUCAAGUCCUCUGUGAAUUAUAAAGUAAUUACAGUGCUCAAAGGACAGUUUCAUAAUUGUGUCCAUGAGCACAGACUUUCCUCUAUGUUCGAGAAGGGCUCAUUCCCAGCCGGGAACAUUAAGUUGGAUUUUAUUGAGACUGGGGACUGCUAGUCCAGACAGCUGGGUGAUCCCCUGCGCUAUUUUGAAAAGUAUCCUGGGAUCUUUAAUUUCCACCUGGAUGGUCAGGGAGGUGAGAGAACGGCCCUCACUGGGUGUGACCUUGUAUCCCACUUGGGGUCUUGAACCAGGGGACCCCCAACCCCAGAGGUGAGACAUGCAAUAUGGUCAAUUAUACAACCUCUUAAUUAUUUUUUGCUGAAUCUCAAGUGAGUUCUCAUGGCCUGCUCUCUCCCGGGUGGGUUCAGAAGGUGGCCAAGAAGAAAUGUUAGAAAAUUCCCAGAGAGCCAUUUCAUGAGAAUGUUUUCUUUGGUUUAUACCUGAUACUGUUUUGUUUUUGUUGUUGCUUUUUAAUAACUUUUUUUUCUUUUUGUGGGGUCAUUUGCGUAAUACACAGGUGACGAACACUCAAGGUUAUUUGGUCGCAUGCCACCAAAUAACUUUCCUUUGGCACAUCUGCAGUGAAGGAGUCUUUCUGUCUGUCUCCUUUUGUUCCUCAUCAUCUAUUAGCUUGGCACAGCUGACUGAGCUGUUAAAUGAUUACUGCAUAUUUUGUACCUCACCUUGAGAGGCUUUGGUAUAAAAAGGUGCUAAUUAAGCUGAAGCUUCUGGCCCUCUUGCCUAUGUGGGCCCCAGGAAGCGAAGCAAAAAGACUUUAGGGAGCUGGAGCUUGUGUGUGUGUGUGUGUGUGUGUGUGUGUGUGUGUGUGUGUGUGUGUGUGUGUGUGUUUCGUUUUCAGCAUUUUGAGGAAUUGUUACUGGAACUUAUAAAAUAAUUGUUUUAGACCUUAUAAACACAGCAAAUUCUUCAAACUACGUAUGAGGCUGACUCAAAAAGCCACGUAAAGGUAGCUUGGCGAAUCAACUAACUGCUGACCAGUUUGUGGUGAUCGUAAGUCUAUAUAUGCUGGAUUUGGCGAUCGUAAGUCUAUAUAUGCUGGAUUUGAAUAUUUUCUGUAUUUAAAGAAAAAUAAGUACAUUCUAAGAAUAGUUGUCAUCUCCCUCUGUAGACUUGCCCCGUAGAUAUUUGAAAUGGGGAUUAACAUAUUUAAGAGUAGCAGGAAGUGCUAUUUCAUCAGUGUCUAGAAUGGGAGGCGAAUUCAGUCCCUGCCUGGACUUGUUGACUAGCUCGCUGGGUUGUGAAAACCACGGCAUUCUCCUGGGAAUUUGUUCCAGGGCACUGACUGCAUUUCUUCUGAAGCUAAAGCACUUAGCUUUGCUUCCAUGCCUUUUAAUAUAAUUUGUAGGCUUCAGCAGAUUUCUAAAGUACACCACUUGAUAUCUUUCACAGCUCAAGGUAAAUUCUGCAGCACGAACUUAUAGAAUUUUUUUCUUUUACCUGGGGUGAGAACAUACCUUUUCCUAGUGCUAUUUUUUUUUUCUGGGCUACCUUUCAUCUGUUUACAUGAAUUCCACUUCUUCUCGCUGUGUUAAAGAAAUCCCCUAAGCUGUCUACAUAGGUGUGAAACUUUUGGUUGUGAUUUCCUUGAAGUUAGUUGGAACUGGAACAUUUUUUUCUGUGUCCUGAAUGGCUCACACAUUCCCUAACACAGAAUGGAUACUCAGCGAACAGUUGUUGAAUCAGUGAACGGUAAUGGCUCAGUUCUGUCAGACAAUGGAUUGAAUUAUUUUUACACCUUUAAUUCACUCAUGGACUGAAUUAACCUACUCAUGGGCUGUUUGGGGCAUCAAGUGAUAUUUAUACAUUUCUGAAGAAUGUGGAAUCACCAGGGUUAACAGUGUUUGCAGGUGGCGUUCGAUUGCAGGGGCCCAAGGAACCACGGCUGAAUUCCGCAUGGACAUAGGCCAUUUUCCACCAGCAAAGUUAUGAGAACUUUUUUUGUUUUGGUAACUGAUGUGAAAUUUUCAGUUCCGAAUGACAUCCAGAAACUCUCCUUCUGCAGCAGAUGAAUGUUUUGAGGGAAUUUGAGAGGAGGGUUUGUCUUUUAUCUCUCACCUGCACGAGGACACUUGCAGUCUCUUAAGAGAUGUUCUCUUUUUGAAAUGGUGGAAGGACAGAAGCAUCAGCCAGCCCGUUCAUGCUUGGGGACAGAGAGGGAGCUCAGAGCUUAGGGGAGCACAGGUCACUCUAAUGAAUGACAGCUGUAAUAAUAAAGACAUGCCAUCCAUGCUACUUUUUGCAGAAACCAGAAACAUCCUUGUGAAAGUUAAAGGGAAAAGAAAAACGUGUACUUUGAGGGGGGUGUUAACGGGGGACAGGAGGUGGCGACAUAAAAGACUGGUUUAAUGUGUCUCGUUGUAGCCCCUAAGGCUUUACCUGACCCCAUCACUGUCACAACACCUUCUUCGGGACUGACAGUCUUGGUAAUUGAUGGGUUGGUGGGGGCUUUUUUCUGCAAACACAUUAAGGCAGGAGGGAAUACUCUGGCCCCCACCUCCCCACGCCUGGCACGGGGGACCUGGAGGCGAGCAGACACCAGGCCCGGCGGUGUUGGGGGCAGAAGGGAUCAAUUCUGUCAACCAGACUGCCCAGCUACUGUCAGGCACUGGGACCCUUCACCUGCUCCUUGGAGUCAUUAGAACUCCCAAAUCUCUUUGCAGGCCUUUUCUAUUAGACACAUACUCCCAUGUUUUGAUUUUUUGCUCCCAAAGUCAUUUUUUUAAAUAAUUACCUGCAUCGAACCACACUUACCAUCUGUGGGCUGAGAGCGGGCAAAUGAUUUAUUAGUCUUGGUUUCUAACGGUGCUGAGCAGCUUGGGAUCGAUCUUGCUGGUGACACACUCGGCAGAUGCACCGAUGGGUGGGAGGGUCAAUGUCAGGAUGAAGCUUCUUGCGGAGCUGACAUGCACGUGGGGACCCCAGGUGUGGUGUUUAGUUGGUAGACUGUGACAUUGCAAAAGUGGAGUCUCAAGCCAUGGCGGAUAACAGGCGGCAGAAAAAGCAGUGAGGGAGCUUCUUGGGAUGUUUUACUUUAAGUAGAAAGUAAAACUGUGCAUGAAAAGAGGGGACAGAGUAUGCAACCCAAAUCAUCGCCAAGGCUCUUGGUUUCUUCUGUGCACACUGCCUGCCUUGUAUCCAAGCGUUUGACUGUGCAGAGGCCAGUCAUACUGGGGGACCCUGAGCACUACCCUUGGCAUUUGGGUAUAUCCUGAUCAAUAUAGCCAUUUCCACUGCUUGACAUUAUGUUUUGGGGGCUAGUUUUUUAAAGAUCAAUGAUUGAAUUGCUGCUCGGCUGAUUGGAUAUGUCUUCUCGGAGACUCACCUGUCCUCCCCGAAGAGAUGCUGACUACACAACAGCAGUCACUGUGCUGGGCACACGGGCAGUGUUCAGGAGACGUGGCUUCCUUUCUUCUUCUUUCAUUUCUUCCUGCCCAGAACAGCAAGGCUGAGACUGAUAAUAAAAUUCCUGGAACAUGGAGAAACUCAUGUGGGGAGAAAAGAAGAAAUGUAUUGUGACUUCCAUGGGCUUUUGGCACUUUUGGACCUCCCUCCUCCUCUUUUCCAUAAAAAAUGUAUUUUAAGACAUAUUGGUAUAAAGAUGAGAUUAUUCAUAGUACAUAUUAAAAUGUUUUCCCCUACCUAAAAGUUUGUGGUUUUAUUGUCUUCUUGUUUUUAAAAUAAAUUAAAAUAUUUUCAAAGGCCGUUAGAAGAACCGUGGGCCCUGGGCUUGGUGCCUGCUGUGCCUCAUAAAUCAGGCCUGGAGAAGAGACAUCAGUGACAUUUUAGUGUCAGGUAGAAAAUGUAAAAUAUCAUGAUUGUUUUCCAAUGAUAUACUAAGUAAGACACAUAAGAUGUGUUUUAAUUUUUUUCUUGAUGUAUGCUGUUGUCUUUUAGUUAUAAAUGCUGAGUACUGUUAAAAGAUAAACUGAGGCACAAUAAAAUUUGAAGAGUUUAUUUGAGCAAACAAUGAUUUGUUACCGAAACACCAGGGGUUCAUCUGGGUCCUGCUGCUUGCCACACAGAAAGCCAAUCACUGAG